AUACGGUGAAACUGCGAAUGGCUCAUUAAAUCAGUUAUCGUUUAUUUGAUAGUACCUUACUACUUGGGAUAACCGUGGUAAUUCUAGAGCUAAUACAUGCUAAAAACCUCGACUUCGGAAGGGGUGUAUUUAUUAGAUAAAAAACCAAUGCCCUUCGGGGCUCCUUGGUGAUUCAUAAUAACUUAACGAAUCGCAUGGCCUUGCGCCGGCGAUGGUUCAUUCAAAUUUCUGCCCUAUCAACUUUCGAUGGUAGGGUAUUGGCCUACCAUGGUUUCUACGGGUAACGACCCCCGUUGCCCGUCCGUCUCGGUCAGGCUCUGCCUGGCAACACCUGCUGGCUCGGAAGAACGUAUUGGAAACGAUACUUCAUUCUGGGGGGACCUCGCUGGAGGCCCCUAAACGCAUGCCAAGUGGUGGGCCUUGAGCUCCCGCCAAGGUUUUCGAUCCAUGCUGCCCGCCCGGGUCCCACCGGUGAACGGCUUUCAUGAACGGGGAAUUAGGGUUUUUAAGAAUACGGGCCCUUUAACCAAUCAUUAACGGGAUCACCACCCGUAACACUAUCUAAAUGUGGGGAGUGUGAGGCGCCCUGCCCGCACGAUCCGCAGCCAGGCUUGCCUGGUCCAACGGCUACUAGAUAGAUGGCCGGCUGCUUGUCCGGUUGCGAUAUAGUCUCUCCUCGGUGACAUCCCGGGGCAUUGUGGUCUAUUCCGGAGAGGGAGCCUGAGAAACGGCUACCACAUCCAAGGAAGGCAGCAGGCGCGCAAAUUACCCAAUCCCGACACGGGGAGGUAGUGACAAUAAAUACUGAUGCAGGGCUCUUUUGGGUCUUGCAAUUGGAAUGAGUACAAUUUAAACCCCUUAUCUAUCGUUAGGGGGUCUAACCGAGUCGGUUGAUUCCGGCAACGCUUUCUCUCUGUGUGAAGCUCUUCGGGGGCGACACGUGGCCUGUACACCGCGGGCUCAGAGACUACUACAAGGCGGGGGGCUCCGAACGGGGCUCUCGAUGAUAUAGUCCAACCCUCUUGGUUGCCCAGGAGGUCCAGGUGUAACGAGGAACAAUUGGAGGGCAAGUCUGGUGAGCAUUUCACUGUUCUGGUAGGGGCCGUUUCGACAGCCCUCUGCUGGCGCCAGGCAAACACCCGCUCCCACCCGCGUGCGAACGCGCUUGGGGGAUGUGGUUCGAGUGGGCUAUGCGCCUGCGAGGCAUCCGGUACGGGGAAUGGUGCUCUGGAGGGUAACUUCCGGGUGGCUAUAUCUCGUGGCCAAAGCGAUCCAGCUUUCGGUCUUAACGCGCGGAAUGGUGCCAUCUGUCUAGCUUAGACUUCUUGAGGUACGUGCUAAUCCCGCCCGUCGAAUGGGUCUCUAGCGUGGUCUUCCAUUGCUACAAGGGGAAUAUAUGGCCAGCAGCCGCGGUAAUUCCAGCUCCAAUAGCGUAUAUUAAAGUUGUUGCAGUUAAAAAGCUCGUAGUUGAAACUUGGGCCUGGCUGUCCGGUCCGCCUCACCGCGUGCACUGGUUCGGCCGGGCCUUUCCUUCUGGGGAGCCGCAUGCCCUUCAUUGGGUGUGCCGGGGAACCAGGACUUUUACUUUGAAAAAAUUAGAGUGUUCAAAGCAGGCCUAUGCUCGAAUACAUUAGCAUGGAAUAAUAGAAUAGGACGUGUGGUUCUAUUUUGUUGGUUUCUAGGACCGCCGUAAUGAUUAAUAGGGAUAGUCGGGGGCGUCAGUAUUCAAUUGUCAGAGGUGAAAUUCUUGGAUUUAUUGAAGACUAACUACUGCGAAAGCAUUCGCCAAGGAUGUUUUCAUUAAUCAGGGAACGAAAGUUAGGGGAUCGAAGACGAUCGUGUAUUUGGUCGUUAACAGUGUACUAGUUGAGGGAGCCUCUCAGCCACAUCACCUAACUACGGGGGCAGACUCUCCGCGAGGAUUGCUCUGACCCAUAGCCAAGCUCCACGGAGCGCAGUCUACAGACUGAAUGUUGAUGGGCGGACGAUUAACCGUCCGUUUUUAAUAUAGUCGAGUCUCCCGGGGUCUCCCCGGGAGUCUUUACGCAGAUACCGUCGUAGUCUUAACCAUAAACUAUGCCGACUAGGGAUCGGACGGUGUUAUUAUUUUGACCCGUUCGGCACCUUACGAGAAAUCAAAGUCUUUGGGUUCUGGGGGGAGUAUGGUCGCAAGGCUGAAACUUAAAGACAUUGACGGAAGGGCACCACCAGGCAGCUUUUACGCCCGGUAAUGAAUACACAGUUAGCCACGCCUUGCGCGGCGAGGUUCCUGAUCUGCGUGGAUCGUCAACUAGACGUACCUGCAGCUGGCCCCGGCAACGUCCGGAGGCCCAGUUCACAGAUCAAGUUGGAGCCGGCAUGCCUCCCCCCGGCAUGCUUAUGAUAUGGUCGGCCCUCCGGAGACUAUCCGAAGGUCCUAGUGCGUGGAGCCUGCGGCUUAAUUUGACUCAACACGGGGAAACUCACCAGGUCCAGAUUUGAUAAGGAUUGACAGAUUGAGAGCUCUUUCUUGAUUUCAAAAUUGGUGGUGCAUGGCCGUUCUUAGUUGGUGGAGUGAUUUGUCUGCUUAAUUGCGAUAACGAACGAGACCUUAACCUGCUAAAUAGCCAGGUCAGCUUUGGCUGGCCGCCGGCUUCUUAGAGGGACUAUCGGCUCAAGCCGAUGGAAGUUUGAGGCAAUAACAGGUCGAGUAGCCUUAUUACAGGCCUGUAAUUACACCUUCGGGUGUAUUAGCUGGACUAUCGGUCCGGUUCUCACCAUUGCUACAGGGAACGACCCCGGAAGAUCAAACCGGGACCGAUCCUGUGGCGCGCCCUCUGGGCCGUCGCAACGCAUACAAAAUGGUGGGCCCGCUCCCGCGGGUCUUCGGUAUAUGCUGACUCCUCUCCAUCCAGAGGUUGGUUUUCGCUGUGAUGCCCUUGUAUCUAGGGGCUUACUCAGUCUGCCUUCGGGCGGGCCACGCCUUCACUCUGCGGAAAAUAUCAAAGUAUUGUAAUCCGUGGGCACUGCACCCAGUGCCCGAGAGACUAAACGAAGGUGGGAGUGUCGCUCAGCGUUACUCUUCAGAUAUAGUCCAUCCCUAUGCCUCCAACCGGGCGUGGAUGCGAAUGUAGAUGUUCUGGGCCGCACGCGCGCUACACUGACAGAGACAACGAGUUCAUCACCUUGGCCGAAAGGUCUGGGUAAUCUUGUUAAACCCUGUCGUGCUGGGGAUAGAGCAUUGCAAUUAUUGCUCUUCAACGAGGAAUGCCUAGUAAGCGCAAGUCAUCAGCUUGCGUUGAUUACGUCCCUGCCCUUUGUACACACCGCCCGUCGCUACUACCGAUUGAAUGGCUCAGUGAGGCCUUCGGACUGGCUCAAGGAGGUCGGCAACGACCACCUAGAGCCGGAAAGUUCGUCAAACUUGGUCAUUUAGAGGAAGUAAAAGUCGUAACAAGGUUUCCGUAGGUGGCUUACUCGCCUAGGACUCCUGAGCCAGCGACGAUAAACUAACUGGCUUGGGUCGGCAGCACCUGCGCUGCCGGCAACACCGUUUAAAUGCCGGAACCGUUGGCGCAAGCCUUCUACCACCAGCAGCCGGAGGCUCCCUUCGGUGCACAGAUCAAGUGACGGUGACCCCUCUACGGAGCUAAGAUUUGACCGGCCGUACCCCCCAGCCGGGGGCACGACGCGCGGAACCUGCGGAAGGAUCAUUA
rnacentral:rRNA from 1 species